rnacentral:misc_RNA from 1 species
GGCACAAUGACAAUAGUAGAUUUCAAGGGUUUAGCAGCAGCGGAGGAGAUUACAACUGGUCUGGCACUUUAGGUAAUUACAAUCAGUAUAGCUCAAAUAUGUCACAAAAUGAAAAUGCUGCAAAGAGUAACCAUAUGUCUGAAUAUAGUGGGAACCAGCAAUUAGAGAACCACUACAACCAAGAUUUUUCGGCAAGCAGUCAUUUUAAUAGUCAAAUAUCUAAUCAUUAUGAGGGAACAGUUCCAUACAAUGCAAAAGCAAUUCAAAAUCAAAAUGACCAACGUUUUCUCCCUGGUGGGGGUUUCAGUCAUCAAUUUAGUCAGCCAACACUCCAGCAAUAUGAGCAGAAUCAUUCCUCAAGUGAUUACUAUGGGACUCAGACCACAGCCAAUUAUUCACAGCAAGCAUUUCAGAGUAGCCAGCAGUUUGCUCAUGCUCCCACUGCAGGAAAAUCAUCUGCUGGCCGUCCACCACAUGC